UGGCCUAAGUGCCCUCCACAUGGAUUCUGCUCAAUGAAUGAGUUUGUCACUUUCCUGCCACUUCCUCAGAAUUAAGUUAACGCCAUUUAUUGAGCAUUUAGGUACAGGAAGAUCUUAGAACACCGUAUAGAUUUAACCCAGAUAACACUACCCCAAGUUAUCUAGUAUUCAAACUCUCAAAGAGCAAGGAAAAAGAGAAGAUUCUAAAGCAGUGUACACAUAUAUGUUUAUAUAUAAAUAUACACAUAUAUAUGUAUAUAUGUAUACAUAUAUAUAUGUAUAUGUGUACAUAUACAUACAUAUAUACAUAUAUACAUAUAUACACAUAUAUGAUAGCUCUUCUUGUUGUACAUAUAUAUACAUAUAUAUAUACACACACACACAUAUAUAUAUAUACCGAAUAUGGGAACACUCAGAUUCAUAAAGCAAGUCCUUAGAAACAUACAAAGAGAUUUAGACUCCCACGCAAUAAUAAUGGGAGACUUUAACACCCCACUGUCAAUAUUAGACAGAU
rnacentral:lncRNA from 1 species